CCUAACACAUGCAAGUCGAACGGUAACAGGAAACAGCUUGCUGUUUCGCUGACGAGUGGCGGACGGGUGAGUAAUGUCUGGGAAACUGCCUGAUGGAGGGGGAUAACUACUGGAAACGGUAGCUAAUACCGCAUAACGUCGCAAGACCAAAGAGGGGGACCCUCGGGCCUCUUGCCAUCGGAUGUGCCCAGAUGGGAUUAGCUUGUUGGUGGGGUAACGGCUCACCAAGGCGACGAUCCCUAGCUGGUCUGAGAGGAUGACCAGCCACACUGGAACUGAGACACGGUCCAGACUCCUACGGGAGGCAGCAGUGGGGAAUAUUGCACAAUGGGCGCAAGCCUGAUGCAGCCAUGCCGCGUGUAUGAAGAAGGCCUUCGGGUUGUAAAGUACUUUCAGCGGGGAGGAAGGGAGUAAAGUUAAUACCUUUGCUCAUUGACGUUACCCGCAGAAGAAGCACCGGCUAACUCCGUGCCAGCAGCCGCGGUAAUACGGAGGGUGCAAGCGUUAAUCGGAAUUACUGGGCGUAAAG
rnacentral:rRNA from 1 species